AGUCGAACGAAGUAGCAAUACUUAGUGGCAGACGGGUGAGUAACAUGUAGGUAUCUGCCCUUUGGCCUGGAAUAACACGAGGAAACUUGUGCUAAUACCGGAUAAGUCUUUACGGAGAAAGCUUUAUGCACCAUUGGAUGAGCCUGCACUUGAUUAGUUUGUUGGUGGGGUAAUGGCCUACCAAGACUGUGAUCAAUAGCUGAUUUGAGAGGAUGAUCAGCCACAUUGGGACUGAGACACGGCCCAAACUCCUACGGGAGGCAGCAGUGGGGAAUCUUGCACAAUGGAGGAAACUCUGAUGCAGCGAUGCCGCGUGAGUGAAGAAGGCCCUUGGGUUGUAAAGCUCUUUCGUCGGGGAAGAAAAUGACUGUACCCGAAUAAGAAGGUCCGGCUAACUUCGUGCCAGCAGCCGCGGUAAUACGAAGGGACCUAGCGUAGUUCGGAAUUACUGGGCUUAAAGAGUUCGUAGGUGGUUGAAAUAGUUGGUGGUGAAAUCCCAGAGCUUAACUCUGGAACUGCCAUCAAAACUUUUCAGCUAGAGUAUGAUAGAGGAAAGCAGAAUUUCUAGUGUAGAGGUGAAAUUCGUAGAUAUUAGAAAGAAUACCAAUUGCGAAGGCAGCUUUCUGGAUCAUUACUGACACUGAGGAACGAAAGCAUGGGUAGCGAAGAGGAUUAGAUACCCUCGUAGUCCAUGCCGUAAACGAUGUGUGUUAGACGUUGGAAAUUUAUUUUCAGUGUCGCAGGGAAACCGAUAAACACACCGCCUGGGGAGUACGACCGCAAGGUUAAAACUCAAAUGAAUUGACGGGGACCCGCACAAGUAGUGGAGCAUGUGGUUUAAUUCGAAGAUACGCGCAGAACCUUACCAACACUUGACAUGUUCGUCGCGACUCUAAGAGAUUAGAGUUUUCGGUUCGGCCGGACGAAACACAGGUGCUGCAUGGCUGUCGUCAGCUCGUGUCGUGAGAUGUUGGGUUAAGUCCCGCAACGAGCGCAACCCUCACUUUUAGUUGCCAUCAUUUAGUUGGGCACUCUGAAAGAACUGCCAGUGAUAAGCUGGAGGAAGGUGGGGAUGACGUCAAGUCCUCAUGGCCCUUACGUGUUGGGCUACACACGUGCUACAAUGGUAUCUACAACAGGAAGCAAGACUGCGAAGUUAAGCAAAUCCCUAAAAGAUACCUCAGUUCGGAUUGCACUCUGCAACUCGAGUGCAUGAAGCUGGAAUUACUAGUAAUCGUGGAUCAGCGUGCCACGGUGAAUGCGUUCCCGGGUCUUGUACACACCGCCCGUCACACCAUGGGAGUUGGUUCUACCUUAAGGC
rnacentral:rRNA from 1 species